rnacentral:rRNA from 1 species
GACGAACGCUGGCGGCGUGCUUAUCACAUGCAAGUCGAACGGGAUUUAGUAAACAGAAGCCUCGGUGGAAGAUUACUAAUGAGAGUGGCGAACGGGUGAGUAACGCGUGAGCAACCUGCCUAUGACAGUGGGAUAGCCUCGGGAAACCGGGAUUAAUACCGCAUAAAAUCGUAGAAACACAUGUUUUAACGGUCAAAGAUUUAUCGGUCAUAGAUGGGCUCGCGUCUGAUUAGCUAGUUGGUGAGAUAACAGCCCACCAAGGCGACGAUCAGUAGCCGGUCUGAGAGGAUGAACGGCCACAUUGGAACUGAGACACGGUCCAAACUCCUACGGGAGGCAGCAGUGGGGAAUAUUGCACAAUGGGGGAAACCCUGAUGCAGCGACGCCGCGUGAACGAAGAAGGUAUUCGUAUCGUAAAGUUCUGUCCUAUGGGAAGAUAAUGACAGUACCAUAGAAGAAAGCUCCGGCUAAAUACGUG